UUUGAAGACAAACUUGGAGUUCACUAUAUUUAACACUUAGGACCCCUAGUAUCUGCCACUGGGCUGCAGGGGCGGCUGCAGGGACACACACCUGUUGGGUGCCUGCUGGUUCCACCCAGGAGCACAGCCAGCAGCCUCAUGCCUCCUGCCCCCUGGCAGUCGAGUGCACGUGGAGCAGGUGGCCUUGGCCUCGAGAGGGUUCCCAGGGUCCCACUGGAAGCCCCACAUGGAACUGUGCCUCUGGGACGUCGCUCCAGGGACCUCGGGUGGGGGCUGGCCCCAUCCUGUGGGGAGGUCCUGGGAGGGUCAGUCUGGCCCGCCUGCCUGCUGACUUGGGUGUGGCCUGAGCAGGUAAAGGCGACACAGGAGGAGAACCGGGAGCUGAGGAGCAGGUGUGAGGAGCUCCACGGGAAGAACCUGGAACUGGGGUAAGGAGGCCCCAUCCCCUGUCCUCCCCGUCCCCAUCCCGCUCGCCAUCCCUGUCCCCAUCCCCAUCCCCCGUCCUCCCCGUCCUCCCCGUCCCCAUCCCCCUCGCCAUCCCUGUCCCCGUCCCCAUCCCCACCUGGCCUGGGACCGCUGGGCACCCGAGGCAAUGGCUGUGUGUCUGUUCUCCUCCCACAGGAAGAUCAUGGACAGGUUCGAAGAGGUUGUGUACCAGGCCAUGGGUGAGUGCCCGGGCCGCCGAGGCCACGUGCCUCCACGAGGGGCUGCCUAUGCCCCACCCUGGCCCUGCCCUGCACCCUGCCUAGGACCCCACCCUCCUGAGGCCCCUUUUCCUAACACACAAGUCCCUUCAACAUGGGCCCAGCCGUGGAAGCACUGAGGCGAGUUGCGGGGAAGCUGGUGGUAGUGAGGCUGGAGGCUCCCACAGAGCCAGCGCUUGUCAGGCCCCAAAGUUGUGCAGAUGCUGAGCUAGCAGUGGGGCUGUGGUGGGAGCAGAGUCGGUCCCACCGUGGCCUACCCCACUCCACCCUGCCCUCCCCGUGCGGCCAUGUCUAGCAGCAGCCUCUGUAGGUGUCUGGCAGGACAGGAACACCAGGCCUCAUCUGGCCUCCCAAAAGCUUGGGCUCCUGGAGGUGCUACUGUGGGGAUCUGUCUUAGGCUGAGUGUCAGCCGGUGGCAGGUGACCGCCUGGCCCUUGCAGUCCCUCCAGGACCACCAUGAAGCACGACACACAGCCUGGAGCUCGCCAUACCGGCUCCCAGGCCUCACCCUAGGCUCUAGGGUGUUGGGCGCCGCCUCUUCAGGGACCUGUGGCCCAGGCUCCAGUUCCCUGCGGAUCUGAUGUGGAGGAAACAGCUGUUUCCUGGGCUUUGCAUCCGGCCUAGAAGAUCGCGGGUGGAGGGACCCAUCACCCUCCGAGGCUCACACCCACUGCCCGCCUCUCCUGGCGCUCGAGUCCCUCGCCUCAUUCCUUGGGCUGUCUCUGGCACCCAUCGUUUCGGUUGCCUCCUCAUCCUGAACGUUUGCUUUUCUUUUCUCAAGAGGAAGUUCAGAAGCAGAAGGAACUUUCCAAAGCUGAAAUCCAGAAAGUUCUAAAAGAAAAAGACCAACUUACCACAGAUCUGAACUCCAUGGAGAAGUCCUUCUCCGACCUCUUCAAGCGUUUUGAGAAACAGAAAGAGGUGAUCGAGGGCUACCGCAAGGUAUGUCUCCGCCACCCUGGCGUCCUCACCUCGGAGGCUGGUGGACUCGUGGUCCAAGCCAGCGGGGCUACAAGCUGCUGUCUUUGCACCUUGGUCCUUGGCCAAGCCUCCCCUUGCCACGGGGGCGUGGGAUGACCUGUGAACGAGACAGGGUGCAGGAGUCACAGCACAGCUAGUUUGCGAGGCAGCUGAGGGUGGCAGGAGGCAGAGUGAGCAGGGAGGCCAUCUGAGCCGUCUGCUGUUGUGUGACAGACGACUCGGCUAUGAUCAAGCAUCUGUGAGAUUUGAGACAGCGCUGGUGCACCAGGGCCUGGGGCACCUCGGAAAGGUGUCUGGGCUGUCCGAGCGCUUGGGUCCCAAGGGUCGGGGACCCAGGGCAUGCAGUAUCCAAGGCGGGAGGCCCACCGAAAGGUGGUCACGGCUGUGCAAGGCCACCCUGGUGUCCUCCUGGCCGCAGGACUCUGAUCCCCCCCCCACCUUCUGUGCUGGGCAAGGCCCACAUGCUUGCUGGAAGGAGGGAUGUCUGGGCCAUCCAUCUGCCCAGAGCAGGCCUGGAAGGUGCCUGCGAGGCCGCCAGAGGGUUCUGCCCACAGCAGCAAUGUUGGAGCGGAGGUGCUCAACGCCUCCUGUAGAGGAGCUGGACCUGCAGGUGCUGCUGGAAGAGGGGCUGUCACUGUUGGUGCAAGGGGGUUGGGGACACCAGAUGGGUCCCCUGGGAGUCAGACUAAACUGGAAAAGCGGCCCUUGCAGGGCCUGGCUGAGCCACACCUCAUCUGAGUCCUGAAGUCAGGUGGUGUCAGUGGCUGGGGCCCAACUGCCUAACAGAAGCAAGCCUGAAUACUCUAGGGAAGAAGGUAUCUUACGCUUUAAAUUGCUGCUGCAGUUUUAAAUUAGUGUCUGGCACAGAAUAACCAAGUGUGAAAGGAACAGGAAACAUGAGUGAAAAUCAGACCCGUUAUUAGAGUGAGGCAUGGUGAUGUACACCUGUGGUCCCAGCUACUAGGGAGGCUGAGGUGGGAGGAUCGUUUGAGCCCGGGAGGUGGAAGCUGCAGUGAGCCAUGAUGGUAUCACUGCACCCCAGCCUGGGAAAUAGACCAAGACCCCCAUUUCUAAAAUUAAAAAACAAAAACAAAAA
rnacentral:sRNA from 1 species